rnacentral:siRNA from 1 species
CGGUCAGCCUCAGUAGAAAUGCAC